rnacentral:misc_RNA from 1 species
CUCGAAUAUGAAGUAGUACCUUCAAAACUAACCAGAAAUAUUGAAAAUUCAUCUAUGAAGGGAUAAUUAACAUGUACUUUCCUCUGUAGAGAAACCAUUCUCCAUGAUCCUCAUCAUCUUCAUAACCACCUGAGAGCACCCUAGAUCGCUUGUCCUGCAACUCAAGCAACAUGGGUCCAAUGCACACCCCAUUGCCUGUCCACAAUUCUACAACAAAAACACCUUGAUUUCUCUCCAGAUCAUUCUUCGCCAAUAUUGACCUGAGGACAUGCUACUUGAGCCAGGCCUUGUAGGAGCAUCA